AUGUGUCCCUGUAGAUGGGAUGAAAGUACAAAGGGGGAAAGAAGAGAUCAUAGGGUAAAAGAAGUGAUGGAGUACAUGUGUCAUGAAAGCAGGAAGAGAAGACUUCUCAGAGAGGGGAUGAGUAUGGACAAGAGCAGCCCACAGGAGAUGGGUACUGAGCAGUGCUGUGAAGGAAUUGAGGUUUUUCCUCCAAAUCUAUAAUAAAAUAUUGAUUCAACUACACAUCUCUACAGUUUUUUGAAGAAGUGAAGUUCACAGUUACUGGGUAAAUUUUGUCUGUAAUACUGGAUGGCAAAGAAACUAAUAAUACGAAACAAAAGAACUGUGAUCCCUAGAGGGAACAUGGUUUCUCAUGAGAAGUCGUGGAUGCUACCAUGGUGUGAAGGUUAAGGAAACUUCCACCCCUUGAGAGUGAAAGGGUUCCAUACAUCUAUACUUUUAUCUGUGGAAUUCUUGUCUAAAGGCAAGGUCCUUGAAGUUCAGAAGAAAAUCAGUGAAUUGCUUGUGUUUGAAAUGAGUGGACCCCUGUAGGUAACAGUGCUUGGGAGAAGGGUGUUCUUAUCUUUUCAUAUUCCUGUUAUUUAUCUGCCACAUGGGAACAGAGAACCAUAGAAUAGCCCAAACUGUAGCUUUAUUUGACUUGGUGUUUCUAUGAUUUCAUAUUAUUAAAUCAUCAUCUAUAUUAGAUAGCAUUAUGGCAUAUUCAAACAAAGUGUGUUUUCUGGAUAUCCAUCCCUCCCCUCCCCCCAUACUCUUCAUACCUCUGUUCUUGUCUUGUACCCCCACCUCCCCAGCUGUCUGCCAGUUUCAUGUCUAUGUGUCUCUUUGUCCAUCUUCUAUGAUUGUUCAUCACCUAUGAUUGCCCUUUCUUGGACCUGUGUUAGCAGUGAGUGAAUCUGAAAAUUAAACAUUGAAAUUAUGGAGUUUUAAAAACAAAUGAAAGAAUUAUUUCAGAAACCGAGUGGAAGAUGCUAAGGACCUACACAUGCAGUGGUAAUGAGAACAGACUUACUGGAAGCAUCAAGAUACAAAAGGGCUAAGGUGAGUUGCACAUCCCAGGCACCUGACUAGGAGAUUUUGUAUGGAAUUUCCUGAAGUGCUGCCUAUAUCAAAGCAAUUUUAUUUACAUAGCUCUAGUGUGAGAACAUUUUACAUGUUCUUGGAGGAAAUAAAAAUAUAGUCAUGGAAGUAUUUUGUUGUUGU
rnacentral:lncRNA from 1 species